AUCUCUUUCGCAAUACAAAUAAGUCUCCAUCUAAACUUUUUUUCUCUAGUAUAAAAAAUACAAAAAUUAGCUCUUAAUAAAGCCAACACUAACCAUGCUCUUUUUAUAUAGCAUCGAUCCAUUUCGUUACAAAUUAGCUCUUAAAAAAGUCAACACACAUGUUUGAUUUCUUUUGCCAAUCACAGGAUAUGACUUAGCUAGAUGGCCAUCAAAAAAGGUGAAAUCUAGAGAAAAGUUUGCAGUGAGAUCCAAAUCCAAGAAUUAUGGCAUAGAGUUGAUAAAAGAAGGCUGUUUUCUCUGAGACAUCACCUGAAAGGGAGAGGAAGAGGCGACACGGAGGAGAUAAGAUCCAAGGAAGCAAACCAUAAAACAAUACGAUGGUAUUCCCUUGUACUCGGCUCCUCUUGUUUGACCGUAGAAUAAUAUGAUCGUAAAUAGUUUUUCUGGUAUGUUCCUUGUCUGACCAUAAAGAAAGUUAUGGAUAUAGCAAUGAUACGUGCUUAUGUUCAUAAAGACAAUCCAAAAAAAUCCUUUUCCACUUUUAUUUUUUUAACUUGGCAUUCCCAACUUCUUUCCCUUGUUUUCUUUGGGUUAUUUUUUUUAAUUAUUAAUAUAGGUAUUUGGAUCAGCGGGCGUGUAUCUCGAUUAAUUCUAUAGACUUUGAAGUUAGUAAGUCUCUAAUAAUCAGGAUUCAAACUCAUAAUUAUUAAAAAAUAAAUUUAAAAUCUGACUAAUUAAAUUAUUUUUUAAGAUUUUUUCGUGCUAUUGUUCUUCUCGAACUACAUUGUUAUUGCUUUUUAAUACUGGGCUAUGGAGUUCUUCAAUUGGUUUGGGUUAGGACUAGACAUGGGCUCGAUCCUGGUUUGCCUUAGUAUUACAUUUUCCGUGGGCUUAUUCUCCAAGAGAGAAAAUCUCCAUAGGCUGGAGUCAGAAAUGGCCUUGGUCGUUGUCGUCAAAAAUGUUGUUUGCAGAUUAGCGAGUGAGAAAAUUAAGAAGUUUCUGUUGGACUGGUAAGUGAAGAAAGAAAGAGAGGAGGGUCAAACUGAACUGCUGUUGAUCUUGAAUUUCUUUUUUACGGGAAUAAAUUUCAUUGGGAGCUGGGCUAAGCGAGCCAAGCCCGGAUACCAACAAUUGAAUUAAGAAAAAGGCUUGCUGUUGCCCAGAUAUGAAGCCUGGCCCAUUAAUAAUUUUUCAGUCAAAUAUAAGUGAUUACGGCUCUUGAGCUUGUUAUAAACUUUCCUUUUUUCCUCUUAUUAUAAACUCUUAUACAAAUCAACCGACCGAGCCAAAAAAACAAUAAUUGUGUACUAGGACAAGGCAAGGGAUAGAGAAAAGAGAGAGAAAGAAAAGGAGAAAAAAAUUACCUGCAACACACCAAAAAGAUUUGUUUUUUAUUAUUAAAAAAAAAACACCAUUAAACACUAUUACAAUUCAUAAUUUAUUUAUUUUUUUAAGAUAUUUUUGUCAUAUCCUUUAGUUUUUUUAGAAACAGUAAUGGUAAUGUAAUUUUUAAUAUUAGCUUCAAAAAGAAACAUGUGAUUCACGCGGUGAAUUAUAGAAGUACUUGAAAAUAUAAUAAUAAUUGUUUUUUUAAAUAAUUUGUAUUAAUAAUUUAAAAAUAUUAGUUUGAAAAAAAAAAAUUAAAAACACAAAAAUCUGCUCAACAUUAAUUUAUGUAUAAAUUUGGAAGAGAUCAUGAUCAUGACCUGUCCGUGAUGUAAAAGUUGCAUAACCAAUGGAAGAGAUCAUGACUCGUCCGUGAUGUAAAAGUUGCAUAACCAAUGGAAGAGAUCAUGACUCGUCCGUGAUGUAAAAGUUGCAUAACCAAUGAUUCAAGUAAAGGGGAAAUGGAGGAUGUCACAAAGAUUAGGCAUAUGCAUAUGGCAUGAACUCCAAAAGCCACACAAUACUGAAGUGCUGAGUGUAUGCUAUGCAGAAUAGCAGCGGUGCUAGACCAGAAUUUGGGGCACUCCAUCUGGCCUGCAUUACCCAAGUCGAUUGUCCCCUAAGUGAACAGGAAAAGUUACUGGGCAGUGUUUUGUCUAGUCAAUCUGCAUUCAAACUUCCAGAGGAAAAAAAAAUAGAGAAAUUUAUUGGUAGCUGCGCCAGGGGCUGCUCGAGACCCCCUCUUGUAGUUUGCACUAGCUAGGGCUUGUAAUGUGUUGAAUGUUAGUUCUUCACUUAUAUUUUGAUGGGAAUUGAUAAGAUUUUCUUAAUUUCUUGAGAUUAACCAUCCAUGUUCAGGACCUUGCCCCAGAAAUCACAACUUCAAUUGAAGGGUUAGUGCCAAUUACGCUAUACUCCUCCCAGUGGCUCUCUAUGGUGAGGAUUUUCUGGGUCUAUAUCGAGUUGCAUGGGUUCGAUGCAUUUGGGUGGAAAUACAUGGAAUUUGGCUUUUCAUGAAGCAUAAAAGAUGCUCAGAAUAUUUAUCCACAGCAAAUAAUUGCUGGACUGGUGGCAUUAUUUAUAUCAAAACACACGUG
rnacentral:lncRNA from 1 species